GUCAACACAGUAAACAAACAGUAAACAAACAGUCAACACAGUAAACAAACAGUUGGAGAAAUAAACGAACAGUCGGAGAAGUAAACGAACAGUCGGAGAGGUAAGCGAACAGUCGGAGAGGUAAGCGAACAGUCGGAGAAGUAAACGAACAGUUGGAGAAGUAAACGAACAGUCGGAGAAGUAAACGAACAGUCGGAGAAGUAAGCGAACAGUCGGAGAGGUCAACAAACAGUCAACACAGUAAACAAACAGUCAA